rnacentral:rRNA from 1 species
GAUGAACGCUGGCGGCGUGCUUAACACAUGCAAGUCGAACGGUGAAGGCGGAGCUUGCUCUGCUGGAUCAGUGGCGAACGGGUGAGUAACACGUGAGCAAUCUGCCCCUGACUCUGGGAUAAGCGCUGGAAACGGCGUCUAAUACUGGAUACGAGCUGCGAAGGCAUCUUCAGCAGCUGGAAAGAACUUCGGUCAGGGAUGAGCUCGCGGCCUAUCAGCUUGUUGGUGAGGUAAUGGCUCACCAAGGCGUCGACGGGUAGCCGGCCUGAGAGGGUGACCGGCCACACUGGGACUGAGACACGGCCCAGACUCCUACGGGGGGCAGCAGUGGGGAAUAUUGCACAAUGGGCGCAAGCCUGAUGCAGCAACGCCGCGUGAGGGACGACGGCCUUCGGGUUGUAAACCUCUUUUAAGCAGGGAAG